GAUGUGGUAAUGAGAUUUUUGAGGUGUCCCAUAAUGCCCAUCCUGACUACUCUGGUCAGCAGUUUGAACUCAACUGCCCUGCAGCCAGAUUAA